UUCAGAAGAGCGAGGAAUGAAAGGCUGCUCUCAAAAAGAAAGAAAGAAAGAAAGAAGCAUACACAAAAUGCCCCCAGUAGAAGUUGAACAUUUCAGAAAAACCACAAAAUGAUAACACUCUACAGGAUCGGAGCUGCAGUUGGGUAAAUUUUCGUUACAGCAGGGGAAAAUUGCCACUGCCAACGGCCCUUUCAUUUAUAGAUAGAAAUCAUCGGGGAUCUAGCAAAUGUCAAAAAUUUUGACAGGAAAACUCAGCGCUUCUGUUGAACAUCCCAUCAUCUGCAAAACAAUACAAAAAAGUACAGAUUUGGAACAGUACCAUGGAGAAUUUGCCAGUUUUCUUUUUUCUUUUUUUUUUUCUACACUUAACCAGCCUCAUUCCAUGUCAGACGUGAACACCAAGUCCCACAAUUAAACUCUUUCUACUGGGAGAUCAGGAACACAACAUUGCUUUCAGUGUUGAGAUGUCCCUUUUCAUGCAUAUUUAUGUAUAUGUCAUGUUCUCAUUACCAAUGUUCAAUUUGCAUGUGCCUUGCACAUUAUCACUUCUACCUGGCAGCUGGAAAUCCUUUUGAUUGCAUGUUUUCUUUGCAUCUAUAAGUGAGGUGAAUAUGGCACGGCACCCUAAAGACUAGUGCAUUAUCACAGGCUUCAAAUCAUUCAUGCUGAACAGAACAAAACACUUAAGCAAGGUGAUUUUGCGCUUUCAAUUCCCGUUCUCAGCAGGUGAAUCCCGAGUCUCCCCUUAGUGCCUUCUGCUUUUGAGCACAGCUACGGUGUGACGGUGCACUGCCCUCGACUGAGCUAUAAUGACAACACAGUCACCUGACAGACCUUAAGCAUGUGCAGCCACACAGAAGACAGGAAGAGAGCAAGAGAAAGAUAGUGGCAUUUAAAGGAUUCACUUUGCUGAGCAUUGAGCAGUGCUGUGGGUGAUCUGUAACAUCAGAGCUGCUGUUGUUUCUGAGCUGACUUGUGUUUCUGUUUCAUUCAUCUCACAGGAGCUGAGCUUUUCCAAAGCUAUAAUGACUCCCUUGCAUUGUUAAUCUCAUGCAUAUCCUGUUGCUGUUAACAGUGAGAGCCUUCCAGCUGUGCACGGGAACCCAAACCAGGGGAAAUCUGUUAAUACUGUCAUUUUUCUCAGUUUCUAUUAUUUAUUUUUUUGUUAUUUAGUUUAAUGCCUUUUUAUGUGGCACAAUUCUUUUGCUGUCUCGCUUUUCAAUUGUUGUUAAUAUCUGUAACAGCCUAUUUAUAGCAUGUUUUGAAUCUUUUUUUUUUUUUUACUUCACUUUGUUCUGUUAUAUAAAGUUCAUCUGCCACAUUUUUACCUCCACCAAGGAGGUUAUGCUGUUGGUAGUGUUUGCAUGCGUGUCCAUUCUUUCUGCCUCUAAACACGAUAGAUCAAAAAGUUUUAAAUGAAUUCCAAUAAAACUUCGUAGAGUGUUGCGUGGGGUCAUGGUAACAAUCCAUUAAAAUUUGGCUUACAUCCGCCGAGGUCUUCAAGUUCAACUGAAUGAUUUAUUGAUCGUAAAUUGACAAAGAAACCCCUUAUAAAUUAGAAACUCCAAUUCCUACAAGUGUGGUGUGUGUUUUCAACAUAUAGAAAGCACUGUACAAGACGGAUAUUUCAGGUCACAUUUGACCUCUGACCUCUUCAAGGUCAGUAGAUUGAUCAGAAGCUUAAAGUGAUAAUAAUGUUAUACAGAGCUAUUUAGUUUUUCUUACAGCCAUUGUUUGUACAUAUAGAUACGACAUAUAGGCAUAUAGGGAUAUAAUGAUAUGUGGAGAUCCUAAAUAUGAUGUUACUUUGGACCUCUGACUUCUUCUUCAAGGUGAAACAAGGUCAAACUUUCAUAAAAUCUCUUUUAUCUUUAAAACGGUGCUUAAAAUUGUUUGCCUUGUUUGUAUUGGCAAUACUGAGGAAAUGAUACUGCUAUAUGGGUUUUUAAACCUCACAAAUUAUUUUGCAUCCAAAUAUCAUGUCACAUUUAACAUCUGACCUCACUAUUACAUUUUACAUCUGGCUUUCUUUCACGUUUACCAAAGAAGUUGUAUCUUAAAAGUAUUGUCAAGAGAGAGAUAACGAGCUACCUAGUUAUAAAUAAAG
ensembl:lncRNA